GAGCGGAAAGGCCCUUCGGGGUACUCGAGCGGCGAACGGGUGAGUAACACGUGAGCAACCUGCCCUUAGCUCUGGGAUAGCUCCGGGAAACCGGAAUUAAUACCGGAUAUGACCACGGCCGACAUAUGCUGUGGUGGAAAGGAUUCCGGCUAAGGAUGGGCUCGCGGCCUAUCAGCUUGUUGGUGAGGUAACGGCUCACCAAGGCGACGACGGGUAGCCGGCCUGAGAGGACGACCAGCCACACUGGGACUGAGACACGGCCCAGACUCCUACGGGAGGCAGCAGUGGGGAAUAUUGGACAAUGGGGGAAACCCUGAUCCAGCGACGCCGCGUGUGUGAAGAAGGCCUGCGGGUUGUAAAGCACUUUUAGUGGGGAUGAAAAGCUACAGGGCUAACACCUAUGGGCCUUGACCUAACCCAAAGAAAAAGCACCGGCUAACUCUGUGCCAGCAGCCGCGGUAAU
rnacentral:rRNA from 1 species